GAAUCUUGCUUCUCUUUUUAUGUUUAUCUAUACUUAUUUUUAGUUCUUUUCUUUUCUUGAUUUUCUAUUCCAGACUUGUUGGAUUGAGGGUCUUCCGUUUCCUGAAUUGAAUUGUGAUGUUGCUCUUAAUGUCUUGAUUUUGGAUUUCCUACUUCUGGUUUGUUUAAGGGAAAAUGAUUAGUAUAUUUUAGGAUUGUAUAAUUAAUUCUAAAACAUAGAGAAUUAGAGUUAGAGUUUGUUGUGGAGAGUAAAAUGAGUAUCUAAUGAAUGUUUACCCUACUAACAGAAAUUGAGAAGAUGGCUAUUCUGGAUCAAGCUGCUAAUAUGGAUUCUCUACCCUUGGAUUGUCGUCGAAAGAGGAAACCAAGGAGUAGAAGGGAUGGAACAAAGAACGUGGAAGAGACACUAGCUAAAUGGAAAGAGUAUAAUGAGAAACUAGAUAGUGUUGAUGAUGAAGGGAAGCCAGUGUGUAAAGUUCCUGCCAAAGGUUCCAAGAAGGGGUGUAUGAAAGGUAAAGGGGGACCCGAGAAUUCGCGGUGUAAUUAUAGAGGUGUUAGACAGAGGACAUGGGGUAAAUGGGUUGCUGAGAUCAGGGAACCUAACAGAGGCAGUAGGCUUUGGUUGGGUACAUUUGGGACAGCAAUUGAAGCUGCUCUAGCAUAUGAUGUAGCUGCAAGAGCUAUGUAUGGUCCUUGCGCAAGGCUUAAUCUGCCAAAUUACCCAUCCUCAAGAGAUUCUUCUAGGGAUGAUUCUGCUUCCUGGGCAACUACAUCUGCAUCUGAUUCUACCGUUGCGUCCAGUUUAGAUGAGGUAUGUCCAGCUGAUGAAAUGAAAGGUGGAGAUGGUGCAAGAACUGCUCUUCAUGAACCUGGCACACCGUUGAGUUCAGUGAAAGAGGAAGCGAAGGACGAGACCACGGGCUUGCCUGCCAAGAUGGAAAUUGUUGAAGCUAAAGAUGGACCUACAAGUAUUGAUCAAGAUAUGCUCAAGGCUGACCGGGGGAAUUAUCUAGACAACUUAAAUUGGGAUGAGAUGUUUGAUGUAGAAGAGCUACUGCGCAUGUUAGAUUCUACUCCAGUCAGUGCUCCAGCACCGGUAUCCACCAAAAACUUUGAUUCAGAUGGAAAGCAAUAUGCCUAUGACAACAAUCUGGUAUCAAAUUUGCCAUGUCAGCCGCAGAAUGCAGUGUAUCAGCCACAGGGAGAUCCACGGCAAAUGGGGCAGGAGGAGGCGCCUAUGACAGUUGACUAUGGAUUUGAUUUUCUAAAACCAGGCCGGCAAGAAGAUCUUAAUUUCAGGUUGGAUGACCUUGCAUUCAUAGACUUGGAUUCUGAACUUGGGGUUUGACAAUUACGCAGUGGAGAGAUGCUGCCAGAUGCAAUGCAAGAAACAUAAUACUGUCAUUGAUUGAGAUAUGGGAGGCAGCUUAUGGUAUUUUUGGGAACACCUCAGAUUUUAGGAAGAGAAAACUAAAGAUGUUGGGUUUGUACAAUGUUUUGGUGUCAUUAAUUUUUUCUUUUGUUCAUAUUGGGCAGCAGUAGUUGCCCUUUUUCCAAGGCCAGCUGAUUCUCGAUAAGUUUUUGCAUGAGAGAAUUUGCAUUAGGUGUUCUGGAGGGCUAAUCUUGUUCAUAUCUAAUCCGGUUCGGUUUAAGAUGUGUUGCUUCAAGUUUGUUGUACAGUUUGCUUGACACUUGUGGUACUUGUUUUUGUGCUUUAAUUGGAAUGCUUUUCCGUCAUUUGCACUUCAUUCAUAACGUGAUCAAUAGCUUCUAUAGCGUCGGUUUGCACUUGGUAACAUGGUUGGAAAGAGCUGAAAUUCCGUUGGAGAAGUAUAACAUAGUAUCAAGUGUUGAGCGGCCAUUUCCCUUUGGCAAUAGUUCAAUGUUGUAUUUGCCAAUGAAUAAAGUAUUUGUGUUACUUGUGAAGUGUUACCAGUAAGUUUGCCAAUGAACAAGUAUUUGUGUUCCCAGUGGAUCAGCAGAUACAAUUGGACACUGAAAAUUCAAUGUCUAAACUCUCGGUGAAUGGUUAAACCUCAUAGAAGUAUUUGCAGACUGAAUGGAGGAGAGCUUGAGGAUGGAAGAUGCAGCAGCGGUGCUAUACAACGUUUUAUGUUAGCCCGUACUUUGUCACCUCAUCCAUAACUUUGUAGAUUUUACUACUUUUGUACUUCUGUUUUACGCUGGGGCUUUUGUAUCUUCUAUAAUAAGUUGCAGGCAGGAUGUAAUAUACGCGUUCUUUCAUUU